UACGGAGGGGGCUAGCGUUGUUCGGAAUUACUGGGCGUAAAGCGUGCGCAGGCGGCUUCUCAGGUCAGGGGUGAAAGCCCAGAGCUCAACUCUGGAAUUGCCUUUGAGACUGAGUGGCUUGAGUACGAGAGAGGUGAGUGGAAUUCCCAGUGUAGAGGUGAAAUUCGUAGAUAUUGGGAAGAACACCGGUGGCGAAGGCGGCUCACUGGCUCGUAACUGACGCUCAUGCACGACAGCGUGGGGAUCAAACAGG
rnacentral:rRNA from 1 species